UCUUUUCCAGGUCGCUCUUCCCACUGCCCGAACUCACAGCUACGUGCUGUACCAAAAUAAACGAAGAGGCACAAGACUUGAGGCGCAUUAUCAAUGGGAUGGACGCACACUGCACACGUCAGGGGCGAACACUUCACACCUCCGGUGAAUACGAUGUGUUGCAUCGCAGACACAGCUGUGUGGGACAAAGGUCCUGCCCACGAAUGGCUUUUCCUAUAUUUCUCCCAAGGCCAGGGGACUAGCUAUCCCCUUACAGGAAGUGAGACUGGUGAACUGGCCAAAAGGGACCUUGAGCUUCUACCGUUAUCUGGUUAUCUGUCCAGUUUCCUCAUCAGGAAAAAGGAAUCCACCUGGAGGGGCUGUAACAACAUUACACAUGUCAUAUCUGCUGGCUGGCACGUAAGUGCUCCGUAACUGUUUUGUAACU